UACUUAAAAGGAAGUGAAAACCUGAAGCCAGUGAAAUUAACUUCCUGCCAAUGUGGGGGACAAUGGCAGCAUGGAAAUGGAUACAAAGAAAGAACUUGUCACUUGGAGAAAUCCUGAUUGCAAGGCUAAGGCAGGAAAAGUAUAAGUUCAGGGGUCAGAAGCAG
rnacentral:lncRNA from 1 species